CCCUUAGAUGCUCUGGGCCGCACGCGCGCUACACUGGUCGAUGCAACGAGUUUCUUUCCUUGGCCGACAGGCCUGGGCAAUCUUUGAACGCUGGUCGUGAUGGGGAUAGACUUUUGCAAUUUUUGGUCUUCAACGAGGAAUUCCUAGUAAACGCAAGUCAUCAACUUGCAUUGAUUACGUCCCUGCCCUUUGUACACACCGCCCGUCGCACCUACCGAUUGAAUGGUCCGGUGAAGCCUCCGGAUUGGCGCGCACCUCGGUGCCGCCGAGAAGUUGGCUAAACCUUACCAUUUAGAGGAAGGUGAAGUCGUAACA
rnacentral:rRNA from 1 species